rnacentral:rRNA from 1 species
GAUGAACGCUGGCGGCGUGCCUAAUACAUGCAAGUCGAGCGAACGGACGAGAAGCUUGCUCUUCUGAUGUUAGCGGCGGACGGGUGAGUAACACGUGGAUAACCUACCUAUAAGACUGGGAUAACUUCGGGAAACCGGAGCUAAUACCGGAUAAUAUUUUGAACCGCAUGGUUCAAAAGUGAAAGACGGUCUUGCUGUCACUUAUAGAUGGAUCCGCGCUGCAUUAGCUAGUUGGUAAGGUAACGGCUUACCAAGGCAACGAUGCAUAGCCGACCUGAGAGGAUGAUCGGCCACACUGGAACUGAGACACGGUCCAGACUCCUACGGGAGGCAGCAGUAGGGAAUCUUGCGCAAUGGGCGAAAGCCUGACGGAGCAACGCCGCGUGAGUGAUGAAGGUCUUCGGAUCGUAAAACUCUGUUAUUAGGGAAGAACAUAUGUGUAAGUAACUGUGCACAUCUUGACGGUACCUAAUCAGAAAGCCACGGCUAACUACGUG